rnacentral:rRNA from 1 species
AUUGAACGCUGGCGGCAUGCUUUACACAUGCAAGUCGAACGGUAACAGGCCUUCGGGUGCUGACGAGUGGCGAACGGGUGAGUAAUGCAUCGGAACGUGCCCAGAGGUGGGGGAUAACGCAGCGAAAGCUGUGCUAAUACCGCAUGUGAUCUGAGGAUGAAAGCGGGGGACCAGGCAGCAAUGUUUGGCCUCGCGCCUUUGGAGCGGCCGAUGUCAGAUUAGGUAGUUGGUGGGGUAAAGGCCUACCAAGCCGACGAUCUGUAGCUGGUCUGAGAGGACGACCAGCCACACUGGGACUGAGACACGGCCCAGACUCCUACGGGAGGCAGCAGUGGGGAAUUUUGGACAAUGGGCGCAAGCCUGAUCCAGCGAUGCCGCGUGCGGGAAGAAGGCCUUCGGGUUGUAAACCGCUUUUGUACGGAACGAAAAGGCUCUGGCUAAUACCUGGGGCUGAUGACGGUACCGUAAGAAUAAGCACCGGCUAACUACGU